UCAGGAUGAACGCUAGCGGCAGGCCUAACACAUGCAAGUCGAGGGGCAGCGGGGAAAAGCUUGCUUUUCCGCCGGCGACCGGCGCACGGGUGCGCACCGCGUAUGGAACCUGCCUUGUACAGGGGAAUAGCCCAGGGAAACUUGGAUUAAUGCCCCGUAGUACCGUAUUUCGGCAUCGUUAUACGGUUAAAGCCUUCGGRCGGUACAAGAUGGCCAUGCGUCCCAUUAGCUAGAUGGUAAGGUAACGGCUUACCAUGGCUACGAUGGGUAGGGGCCCUGAGAGGGGGAUCCCCCACACUGGUACUGAGACACGGACCAGACUCCUACGGGAGGCAGCAGUGAGGAAUAUUGGACAAUGGAGGAGACUCUGAUCCAGCCAUGCCGCGUGCAGGAAGAAUGCCCUAUGGGUAGUAAACUGCUUUUAUACGGGAAGAAAAAGAGCUACGUKUAGCUUACUGACGGUACCGUAAGAAUAAGGACCGGCUAACUCCGUGCCAGCAGCCGCGGUAAUACGGAGGGUCCGAGCGUUAUCCGGAAUUAUUGGGUUUAAAGGGUCCGUAGGCGGGCCGAUAAGUCAGGGGUGAAAGUCUGCCGCUCAACGGUAGAACUGCCUUUGAUACUGUCGGUCUUGAGUUAUAGUGAAGUUGCCGGAAUAUGUAGUGUAGCGGUGAAAUGCAUAGAUAUUACAUAGAACACCGAUUGCGAAGGCAGGUGACUAACUAUAUACUGACGCUGAUGGACGAAAGCGUGGGGAGCGAACAGGAUUAGAU
rnacentral:rRNA from 1 species